rnacentral:tRNA from 1 species
GGACCUUUAGCUCAGUUGCUGUUAGAGCUCCCGGCUCAUAACCGGGCGGUCGUAGGUUCGAGUCCUACAAGGAUCC